AAGCGGGUACCCAUUUAGGGCCAAGUAGGCGGUGCAUCGUAGGCGAACCGAAUCGUUUCCUUGGAGGAACCUCCUAUGGUCGUCUACGCCGCAGCCACUCGUUUCCUUGUGGGUUGGGACACUGACUCCGCCCCCAGGUCAGGUCCGUCCCCUCCCGCGGUGAAGGUGAAUAAAACGUAACCUGGAACGAAACGGGGUCAAAUCCCCGCGAGCUCCAAUCCUGAAGGGCGCAGGGCGAGUCUCCCAACCUCGGGGUGAAGCCCGAACCACAGAUUCGGGGCGACCCCGGCCCGUCCGUGGUGAAGUGCAUCGAGCUGGAACCCGGGCGCCGGUGGCUCCCCGUGUUCGCUCUGGCUGUAGCGGGCGUGCAGCCUGUUCGAUUUCGCUGGCACAGUCUGUUCCUGGGCUUGAUUUCCCGCGUCUGCUCGUCCUACUUCACUGGAUCCUUCCGCUUCUCUCACGGAGGCUCCCUCCACGGUACCCGCGGCUCCAGCCUGGGCCUCGGGGCAUCGCUGUAGAGCCGCAAGACCCGGGUAUCGCCCACGUAGCCGACGACGCUGUACCGGUUCUUCAGAGGCAGGAAAAUUUCCCCUGCCGACAGAUCCCCUCUACUCGGGGAGGCCGUGCCCCGAACCUGCUCGGAGCAGCGUGUCCUUCCCCUUCUCCAGGAGGCGGUGGAGGCGGCGCACGCAGGUGUCCUGCAGGAAGAAUCUCCUGACGUCCGCAUCAGGGAGCAGCACCAACUCGCGCCAGGUGAUCUGGGGCGCCAUGGCUGUGGUGGUCCAGGAGCGCAGGUCCUCAUGCAGGGAGAGGAAUUCGGUGCCGUCGUAGGCGAACUGACUGAACCCGUGGAGGAAGCGCCCGUCCAACCCGACGAGGCAGCCGGUCAUUUCCUGGAGGGUGUGAGACCCUGACGCCCCCCAAGGGCACCCUCGGCUCCAGUCUGGAACUGGAGGCGUCACUAUGGAACCGCAGGAUCUCCGUGUCGUCCAGGUAGAUGACGACGGUGUAGCGGUUCUUCUCGCCGAGGGGAGUGAUUUACAGGAAACUCCUAUGAUGCCGCUGCUUUAAUUUGGUUAUAGAGGGAUCUUAUCUGAGAGAUGACCAGGGACAUCACUGAGGGGGACAUGCAGUAACUUCUGUGGUGGACAUAACUGAGAAUGCUCAUCGACUGGAAAUGAAAUCUGCCCAGCACGCUGAACUGACUGCUCUAACUUGGGCUUGUCCCCUG